rnacentral:lncRNA from 1 species
CUAAAAGUGGAAAAAGACUUUUUUAAACCUAAUCUCACUUUUCCUGCUGCCAAAGUUCAUUUCCUCCAUCACAGCUCUUCUCCUCCACAAGGUAAGUCUCUUUGCAAUUUUUUUUUUCUCGGUUUUCAAAUGCAUUUAUUUAUGUUCUCUAUUUUCUUUUCUUAUCUCCCUCCACAACAAUAGAAGAGUUGGAUUUGGUGGUGAGGUGACAAUUCUUUCUUAUGUUUUUUUUUUAAAGAGAAACGAAACA